UACGGAGGGAGCUAGCGUUGUUCGGAAUUACUGGGCGUAAAGCGCGCGUAGGCGGCUUUGUAAGUCAGAGGUGAAAUCCCGGAGCUCAACUCCGGAACUGCCUUUGAAACUGCAUCGCUUGAAUCCGGGAGAGGUGAGUGGAAUCCCGAGUGUAGAGGUGAAAUUCGUAGAUAUUCGGAAGAACACCAGUGGCGAAGGCGGCGCACUGGACCGGUAUUGACGCUGAGGUGCGAAAGCGUGGGGAGCAAACAGG
rnacentral:rRNA from 1 species